rnacentral:lncRNA from 1 species
CUGCAGGGACGAGCGUGAGUUUUGUACCGCGGUUACCACCUACUUUCCAGCUCCAGGUCUUAGUCUAAGAGGGAGUGUCUGCUCAUGAAGAGGCAAAGCCCCAGGAGCUGCGAAAAGCCUUGCAUGGCCCAUCUGAGAGAUGUGCUGAGUCGGCUUGUUAAAAAUGACAGGCAAAGCCUGUGGGGUGGGGCAGCUUUCUUGGCCUGAGCGCAUCUUGGUUGAGCCAGAGGUGACUUGGGGUGGGGAGUGGGGCGCCGGUUGGUGGGUUCUCCCUUUAAUUUCUCAAAGGCUGUGGUGUUUAUGAGUCUGUUGGAAUCCUGGUUGGGUUGGAAUGAAGGAAGGUUCUAGAACCAUUGUGGGAAGCUCGCUAGUAAAGAUGGUUUGGAGAUCGGAAGUUGACUGACUUUCCCCCAUUGAAAAAUGUCACCUGAGAUUUUAGUGCCUGUAUCACGAUUAUAGGCUCAACUUUCUUUUCCUUGUUUUCUUUGAUUUAGUUCUCCUUAUGUGCAAAAUUACUGUGUGAUGUUGGCUAGUCGUAUUAUCACAGCCACUCCGUGUUUUCAGGAUUUGUAGCUGGAAGUCCUAUAGCACUUAAGUCUUCACUUACAGAUCAGCGCUUGCUUUUAUUCUGUUUUGUGUGAUUUCUGCUGUUUUCCUGUGAGUUGGUGUUUUCUUCCCAAGUAGGCUCAGGACUCCUCUAGGGCAGGACAUUAUAUGCAUGUACAUAGUGUCCUCCAGUGUAGGGGAGGAGAAGGAGGAGAGGUGAGGUGGGAAAAGGGUGAGGGAAGGCUUGGAUAUUUGAAGUUAUUUACAAAUGAGCUUAGACGUAAAUCCAGUUAACAGAUGACACCACAAAUUAAUGAUUAAAGAAAUCCUGAAAUUAUUUUGUAAAUUACACACUUAUAUUGCUGCAUUUUUUUUCUGUUGAAAGCAUUACUUUUAACAGAAAUGGAAACAUUGGAAAUAAACCAUGUUUUUCUCACCUUUUAUGUCUUCAUCUCUUAAUGUACCAGUCCCUAGAGAAGCUGAAGCCCAAUCCUGUGUUCCUCCACCCCAGCCACCCAGCCCCAUGGUGAGGACACAGGGAGCUUAGGAUAGUACUGCUGCGUGCAGCAUACACCUUUGUCUCAUUGACGUGCAGAGACUGACCAGAUAGAGAAGGUUUUUUGAUGGAAAACUCACUGUGGUGUCUGCCUGGUUGAUCUUGAAUGAUGGCAAGUGGGCACUUUUCAGGUAACUAUUGAUGAUUAACUGACAAAGAUCUGUGAAGGCUACACUUUGUCACUUCAGAGUGCCAGAGAUACCCAUCAGUAAUAUUUUUACAUAUAUGCUUAGUACCAUGCAGGUAAAUCCCAGGUGAUUGUCAUCGAGCUGAACUUUUACUCAGAUGUUUAAAGUGAUGCACUUGUAAGGUUAUAAGGUGAAAAUGCUAAUGUUUAAAGCUAUUUGGCAUUUUAAUUUGACAGUUGUUUUAUAAAUGAACCAAAAAGAAAGAAGUUGCUGUUUUGCAAUAAAUCAGUGUGACACAAAUCAUAUUUCUUAAUAUUUCAAGUGACUGCUUGCCAACUGCCUGAUGGAAUGGCACCGUGAAUUC